UACGAAGGGGCUAGCGUUGCUCGGAAUCACUGGGCGUAAAGGUGCGUAGGCGGGUCUUUAAGUCAGGGUGAAUCCUGGAGCUCAACUCCAGAACUGCCUUUGAUACUGAAGAUCUUGAGUCCGGAGAGGUGAGUGGAACUGCGAGUGUAGAGGUGAAUUGUAGAUAUUCGCAAGAACACCAGUGGCGAAGGCGGCUCACUGGCCCGGUACUGACGCUGAGGUGCGAAAGCGUGGGAGCAACAGGAU
rnacentral:rRNA from 1 species